CUUCACAUCAGGUGGCCAAAGUAUUGGAGUUUUUUAGCUUCAGCAUCAGCCUUUCCAAUGAAUGUUCAGGACUGAUUUCCUUUAAGAUAGACUGGUUGGAUCUCCUUGCUGUACAAGGGACUCAAUAGUCUUCCCCAACACCCCAGAUAAAAAGCAUCAAUACGUUGGCGUUCAUCUUUCUUUAUGGCCCAACUCGCACAUCCAUACAUGACUACUUGAAAAACCAUAGCUUUGACUAGAUGGACCUUUGUUGGCAAGGCAAUGUCUGCUUUU